GGCGUGAGGCUGCUGAUGCUCCGCCGCCACCGGGAAGGAGGAGGAAGAGAGCGGAGAGGGGGGACCUUUCGAGCGCCGGAACUGCCUGCUCCGGGCGGUGCCGGCGCCGGGGCGCGUUUCGCGGUGGCACCACCUGGCCGGGCCGCCUGCAGCCGUAGCAGCAGCAGCCACAGCAGCUGCCCGAGGGGAGCGUGGCCGGAGCUGGGCGGGAUGGCUCCGGGUCCCGCUCCGAGGAGGAAGGGGGCGGCGGGGCCUGCGGGCGGGCUGCCCUCCGUCCGCCAGAGCCUGCGCCGGGCCUGGCAAGACAAGCACCUGGUGCUCUUCGAGCCCCACUACACCCCGCUGGUGGCCGCCUGCCUCUGCCUGGCCGAAGUGGGGGUCAACCAGUGGGUCAUACACAGGGUGGCAUAUACAGAGAUCGACUGGAAAGCCUAUAUGGAUGAGGUGGAGGGUGUUGUCAAUGGGACUCUGGAUUACACCCAGCUAAAGGGGGACACAGGCCCUCUUGUAUAUCCUGCUGGCUUUGUUUACAUCUUCCUGGGCCUGUAUUAUGCAACUGGCCGUGGCACCAACAUCCGCCUGGCCCAAUAUCUUUUUGCUGCCCUUUACCUUGCCACACUGCUGCUCGUUUUCCGCAUCUACAGCCGAACCAGUAAGGUCCCACCCUACGUUUUCUUCUUCAUGUGCUGCGCCUCCUAUCGCAUCCACUCCAUCUUUGUCCUGCGCCUCUUCAAUGACCCGGUGGCCAUGGCGAUCCUUUUCCUGGCUGUCAACCUCUUCCUGGAGGAGCGGUGGUCCUGGGGCUGCUUCUGCUUCAGCCUGGCAGUGUCUGUGAAGAUGAAUAUCCUGCUCUUUGCACCGGGUCUCCUUUUCCUCCUGCUGCAGCGCUUUGGCCUGCUAGGAGCCAUUCCCAAGCUCGCUAUCUGUGCAGCCCUGCAGGUUGUUUUGGGGUUGCCCUUCCUGGUAGUGAACCCUGUUGGGUACGUGUCCCGUUCCUUUGACCUGGGCCGACAGUUCCUCUUCAAGUGGACAGUAAACUGGCGAUUCUUGCCAGAAGAGGUUUUCCAGCACCGGACAUUCCACCUGGCAUUGCUGGCCACCCAUUUGGCUGCCCUGGGGCUCUUUGCACUGAAGAGGUGGCACAGGUGUGAUGAAAGCAUCCUGUCACUGCUGAAGGAUCCAGCUGAGAGGAAGAACCCUCCGCAGCCCCUCUCAGCCAAUCAUAUCCUUUUGCCAGAGUGGUGGUGGUGUGGGGGGGCAACCGCAUGGUAGGUGGUUUGUGUGAUGGUACAAGGACAGGCCUUUUCUGCGGUGGGCGCCCACUUGUGGAAUGUUCUCCCCAGGGAAGCUUGCUUGGCACCUACCGUAAGUUACUUAUCAUUACACCCCAGGUAAAAACAUCCCUCUUCUCCUAGGACUUUGGAUAAUUAAACAAUUAACUGCAGGGUGGUGGUGGUAUAGUUUUCAUUAUGGUAUGUGCGUUUGUGUUUUUAAUAUUGUAAAUUGCCCCGUGAUCCUCCCAAUAGAGGGUGGUAUAAAAGUUUAAAGGUAAAUAUAAAGGGACCCCUGACAGUUAGGUCCAGUUGCGGACGACUCUGGGGAUGCGGCACUCAUCUCACUUUACUGGCCAAGGGAGCCGGCGUACAGCUUCCAGGUCAUGUGGCCAGCAUGACUAAGCCGCUUCUGGCGAACCAGAGCAGCGCACGAAAAUGCCGUUUACCUUCCCACCUAUUUAUCUACUUGCACUUUGACGUGCUUUCGAACUGCUAGGUUGGCAGGAGCAGGGACCGAGCAACGGGAGCUCAUCCUGUCACGGGGAUUCGAACCGCCGACCUUCUGAUCAGCAAGCCCUAGGCUUAACCCACAGCACCACCCACGUCCCUUCCAGUAUAAAAGUUUAAUGAAUAAUAAUUUAUAAAAGGACAUGGAAAGAGCCGAGCUUCCACACUCUUGAUGCUCCUCCACUCCAGAGCUGCAAUGGAUUUGAACUUUCAACUUUGUGCAGUGCAACCUUCCCUUAACCAAAGGCUACAGGGUGCUCAUUCUAGGUUUGAUCGAGCUUUCUUGGAACACGUACCCAUCAACAGUUUACAGCUCCGCCGUCCUCCAUGUUUGCCAUGCCAUCAUCCUCCUGCAGCUCUGGUAUGGGACGGAGGCCUCCAU